rnacentral:lncRNA from 1 species
CCUCUGCAAUAGCAGCAUGAAAAAAAACUCUAUCUCUAGAAGAGGAAUGAUGAUAAGUUGAGUCUGAUCCAUAACUGCAAAAUAAACAAACAGGUGCACACGUUUUAACUAUUUAAAUUAUUAAAAAUUUUAAGGGUAAAAGCCUGAUUGUAUAAGUGUGGGAACUAAGCAUGUUAUGAUUUAAAUAUUUUAUUGGCCAUAGAAAUAUAUAGUUUCUUAAGAGAUACCAAUAAAAUAUUUCAAGUGGAGCCCCAAGUAGCUCUCUAAGUUAGAAAUGCUCUUAGGGACCCAAUAAUACUUUAAAAUAUUUUAAGUCAGAAACCUCAAGUAGUUCCCUAACUUAGAAUUGUUCUUAAGGAACUGAUAGUAUUUUGAUAUGAGAUUCUCAAGUAAAACUAGUUCUUAGCGCUUUAAUUUUGUUUACCGAAUUCCUAAAUUAACUGAUAAUAUUUUAUUUCGAAAACCCCAAGUUAAAAAUAUUCUUAAGGAUCUAAAUAAUAUUUUAAAAUAUUCAAUUUGAGAGCUCUAAAUGGGAAAUGUUCUUAGGAAUCCAGGUAAUAUUUUAAAAAAAUGGUUUGAGAUCCCAAGUAAAUUGGGUACUUGGAGAUCUAGAGUCCCAAGUUGAAAAUGUUCUUGAAAAUCUAACCCAAAAAAAAUAAUUUUGAGAUCCCUAAGUAGGUUAGGUACUCGGAGAUCUAGAGCCCCAAGUUGGAAUGUUCUUGGAGAUCCCACCCAAAAAAUAAAAGUUCGAAAUCCUCAAGUAAAUUAGGUACUUGGAGAUCGAAAGCACUAAGUUGGAAAUGUUAUUAUGGAUCCAACCCAGAAAAAAAAAAUUAACUUUUUUAUACAUAUCAGGCUACAUCCUAAAAAAUUUUCUAGCAAUUUAAAUAUAAUUAUGCACAAUUGCCCAACAAAUAAACAUACAAAAAUUAGAUUUUGGGUAAAAAGAAUACCUUUUUAGCCUUUUUCUUUGAUAAACUUAGAAAGGUUUUUCUUUUAUAAGUGGGUAUACUUUCCAUUACCAAGAAUUUAUGCAGAUAGAAUCUCACCAAUUAACUCAAAGAGUUACGUACAAAGGAGAUAGAUUUCAAUUUGAACUAAACCAAUCGGCUUUCGGUUGAAGCAGUAAGCGGUGAGGAUUGAUCGAUUAGUGAAGGAAGAUUGUUAAUCCAGUGCCAGCAUCGUUGAACGAAGAAGAUGUAGUAGUAGGAGAACAAGCGGGGACAGUAUGAUGGUUGUCCUCCUCGACAGCAUGCUACGACAGGCGAGGAGAGCGAGCUGCUGUCUUUUCUGGUGCAAGAUGGCUGUGAUGAAGAGUAGAAAGAGAAAUCCAAGAAAAACAAGGUGGGUCAUUAAUAG